rnacentral:rRNA from 1 species
UACGUAGGGGGCAAGCGUUGGUUCGGAUUCAUUGGGCGUAAAGGGUGCGUAGGUGGCGCGCUAAGUCAGGUGUGAAAUUUCGGAGCUUAACUCCGAAACUGCAUUUGAUACUGGCGUGCUUGAGGACUGGAGAGGAGACUGGAAUUCAUGGUGUAGCAGUGAAAUGCGUAGAGAUCAUGAGGAAGACCAGUGGCGAAGGCGGGUC